rnacentral:tRNA from 1 species
GCCGGUGUGGCGGAAUUGGCAGACGCACCAAGCUUAAGACUUGGCGGGCAUUGCCCAUCCGGGUUCAACUCCUGGCGCCGGCAC